rnacentral:rRNA from 1 species
GAUGAACGCUGGCGGCGUGCCUAAUACAUGCAAGUCGAGCGAACAGACGAGGAGCUUGCUCCUCUGAUGUUAGCGGCGGACGGGUGAGUAACACGUGGAUAACCUACCUAUAAGACUGGGAUAACUUCGGGAAACCGGAGCUAAUACCGGAUGAUAUUUUGAACCGCAUGGUUCAAAAGUGAAAGACGGUCUUGCUGUCACUUAUAGAUGGAUCCGCGCUGCAUUAGCUAGUUGGUAAGGUAACGGCUUACCAAGGCAACGAUGCAUAGCCGACCUGAGAGGGUGAUCGGCCACACUGGAACUGAGACACGGUCCAGACUCCUACGGGAGGCAGCAGUAGGGAAUCUUCCGCAAUGGGCGAAAGCCUGACGGAGCAACGCCGCGUGAGUGAUGAAGGUCUUCGGAUCGUAAAACUCUGUUAUUAGGGAAGAACAUAUGUGUAAGUAACUGUGCACAUCUUGACGGUACCUAAUCAGAAAGCCACGGCUAACUACGUG